UAAUAGCUAAAGAGAACUAAAAGCUAUAAAUUCUAGCAAACUCUGACUAAACCUGUCAUUACCUCAAAGCAUUUGAGCCCCAAGUUGGUCACCAAAUAGGACUGUCACGGUUUAAUCCCAGUGGGCAGCUCAGCCCCACAUAGCCACACGCUUACUUACCCCAGUGGGAUGGGGAAGAUAAUUAGAAUGGUAAAAGUGGGAAAAUUUGUGGGCUGAGAUAAAGGCAGUUUAAUAGAGAAAGCAAAAGCCACACACACAAACAAAGCAGAAGAAGGAAUUUAUUCACUUCCUAUCAACAGGCAGGCAUUCGGCCAUCUGCAGGAAAGCAGGGCUUCACUACAGGUAUUGGUGACUUGGGAAGACAAAUACCCCCAGUCCAAACAUCACCCUUUCCUUCCUUCUUCUCCCAGCUGUAUAUGCUGAGCACAACAUCAUAUGGUCUGGAAUAUCCCUGUGGUCAGUAGGGGUCAGCUGUCUCAGCUGUGUCCCCUCCCAGCUCCCUGUGCACUCCCAGUCAGCUCCCUGUUGGGGUAGCCCGAGAAACAGAGAAGGCCCAGACACUGGGCAAGCACUGCUCAGCAACAGCUAAAACAUCCCCGUGUUAUCUUUUAUUUCUUUUAAUACAUUGUUCUCAAUAAUUUUUCAAAUUGAAAGGCAGUUGAUUUCUAAGGUUAAGUCAUCAAGCUGUAACAAGACAGCAACUCUGACAAUCACAGAUUCAAAUCAUAUCAAUGCCAGCUUAUUCUACAGGAUGAGACAAGUACCAGCAGAAGAUCAUCUGCUCCUGACUUCUCUGAGUCAAAUUUAAAGCUGAACUUUCCCCAAGAAGAUUAAGGGUAUUCCAGAUUGUCUGAUGACACAAAAUAGCAAUAUCACAAAAGCACUGCAGGUACUUUGCUUCAGGAGCUCCCAAAGCCAUACACCUCAUUCCUCAGCAGUGUACAGCAGGAAUAAUCCAGUGCAAUGCAGCAUUUUCAUAAAGCUGGUUUUUGGAUGAUUGCCUUUCUCAUUAGAAAUGAAGUGCUGGUCUGCCUGAGCACAAGGUGUGAAGAUAAGGAAAGAAGAAGAGAAAUUAAGUAAGGAACACAAAUUAAAUAUACAGUCAAUGCUCUUUUAUCUGCCUGACCAGAAAAUGUCCUUGCCUUUUUUGUUUUUCACCCCAGGCUCCAAGCAAGCUGCUUGGCUCUGCAUGCUAUUUCUGCACUAUGAUACAAGCUAUGCCAAUUCCUAAGAUUCAUACUUCAUUUUAUUUUGUUUUCUAUUAAAUAAAGCAUAUAGAAAAGA